rnacentral:tRNA from 1 species
GGGUAUAGCUCAGUGGUAGAGUGCAUGCCUAGCAUGCAUGAGGUCCUGGGUUCAAUACCUAGUAACCCA